rnacentral:rRNA from 1 species
CAGCAGCCGCGGUAAUACGUAGGGUGCAAGCGUUAAUCGGAAUUACUGGGCGUAAAGCGUGCGCAGGCGGUUAUAUAAGACAGAUGUGAAAUCCCCGGGCUCAACCUGGGAACUGCAUUUGUGACUGUAUAGCUAGAGUACGGCAGAGGGGGAUGGAAUUCCGCGUGUAGCAGUGAAAUGCGUAGAUAUGCGGAGGAACACCGAUGGCGAAGGCAAUCCCCUGGGCCUGUACUGACGCUCAUGCACGAAAGCGUGGGGAGCAAACAGGAUUAGAGACCCGCGUAGUCCCUGUCUCUUAUAC